UUAGUAAUUCCACCUAUCAAAAAGUGAAUUGCGUCAUCAUCAGUAAAGCUUCCUUGAAACUUGGCCAAGUGUCAUUAAUUGUUCCUGUGCCAAGCUCAAACCAUUUUCGAGCUGAUUUUACCAAUUUACUAGUACCAGCUAACAACAUAAUAUCGUGAAAUGCACCAUGAAUUCGAGACACUCGUUCAACCUUUUGAAUCCAAAUUUCUACAUCAUCAUCAUCUUUACCACUAAAUUCAGGUUGAGGUAUAAAAUUAGGAACAGACUGACCUUGUGAUCCGGCAUUACCCGAAAAUGAGGCAUAGGAUGAUAAAAAUUCCAUCAUUUGUUGCAUCAUUUGCUGUUGAUGUUUCGCAAGAAGAGCACCAAUCUUUGGAAGAAAUUCUUCCGGCAUCGCUCCUGCAGUAUUACUCAUUGAAGGAGAAUGGGAAACUGUAUGUGCUGUAAGAGCUUCUUCAGGGUUUUGAACAGCUGGUAAAGCUGAAGCAGCUUCUUCUCCGACGAGUGAAGCAGGAUGAAAAGGAUCAUCAAUUGAUUCAAAAUAGACAGUCUUCCGUUGAUCCGAUGCUAAGGGAGGGUUCGAUGUUUCAUUCACAUAAUUGUUCUUCUCAAAAUAAGCCGUCAAUAGAUCAAUGCAUCCAUCACGUGAAGGAGAUGGCUUGAGACCAUAUUUCUUUGCCAUUGUCUGGAGUUCUUUAAAAGAUAACUUCUCCAACGAAAGACGAUCCAUGGCAACGGAAUAAACAACGUGUCUUUCAUGCAAGAUCCAAGAAGACUUGAAGACAAUUGAACGUGAAUUCAACACGUAAUUUAUUGAAUGGAAUCACAAGCGUUACGAUAGAGUUUAAUAACUCUGCCGUUCUUUAUUGUGAAUCACUGAACACAUUCACUGAAGAUAAUGCAAAUACUUGUACAGCUCACUGAUAUUAUUCAUGUAUCGAUUCUCACUGUUUUAGUACGGCUUAAUAAUCGACCAUAAGAUCAAGGGGAAGCGCGCACUAUCCCGCUUCUGAAAAAAUUGCUGUAAGACAGCAGUCAAUUUGUAGUUUGUCAGGAGAAUGGCUUUUUCAAAAGGGUAAUAGUUUAACAGUUGAACCAUGAAUUAUUGAACUGUAUAUAUAAAUAUUAUAGUGAACGUGAGAAAUCGAAUAAAGCAAUAAUUUGAGCACUUAUCGAAACACGUUUUUAUUGGUCAACUCAUAAACUCGAACUCAGAACUAAUUACAAACUCAGAAUACAAAUGUGAUUAAUCAAUUAAGCAUAUCACACGAGAUCAACGAGACACGUCCGAUCUGAUUCACGGUUUACGGUAAAAGACGCUCAGGCAUUCCCCCGAUCUCACAAACACACCUAUUGCUAUGACAAUUCUCUUUUGUUAAAUAAAUAGUUUAUGUAUCUAAGGAAACGCGUUGCUAUCAUCAUUUGAAUAUAGCGCUUGUAUUUAUCGAUAAAGCGCAUGCGCGAGCGCCACUAGUAAUUUCUCUGACUAUGAGACUGCCAGUA